rnacentral:rRNA from 1 species
UACGUAGGGUGCAAGCGUUAAUCGGAAUUACUGGGCGUAAAGCGUGCGCAGGCGGUUUUGUAAGACCGAUGUGAAAUCCCCGGGCUUAACCUGGGAACUGCAUUGGUGACUGCAAGGCUUGAGUGUGUCAGAGGGAGGUGGAAUUCCGCGUGUAGCAGUGAAAUGCGUAGAUAUGCGGAGGAACACCGAUGGCGAAGGCAGCCUCCUGGGAUAACACUGACGCUGAAGCACGAAAGCGUGGGGAGCAAACAGG